rnacentral:rRNA from 1 species
CGGCGGACGGGUGAGUAACACGUGGAUAACCUACCUAUAAGACUGGGAUAACUUCGGGAAACCGGAGCUAAUACCGGAUAAUAUAUUGAACCGCAUGGUUCAAUAGUGAAAGACGGUUUUGCUGUCACUUAUAGAUGGAUCCGCGCCGCAUUAGCUAGUUGGUAAGGUAACGGCUUACCAAGGCAACGAUGCGUAGCCGACCUGAGAGGGUGAUAGGCCACACUGGAACUGAGACACGGUCCAG